GAUCCCUGCUGAGCGCUGCUCGGCGCGGGGCUUUUCUGCGCCCUGGAGGCUGCCCCGCUGCGCGGCUCCCCCGGUACGGAGGUGUCGCAGGGAUGCCGGUUUCCCCAUGACUGAGGUCUCCUCAAUGGAGGUUUCCUCUAGGACAGGAUCCCCCCUGCUGGGCGCCGCCCCACACCAGAGGUUCCCCCACGAUGGAAACGUCCUCCUGACGAAGGUUUCCCCCCUGAUGGAGGCUCCUCCCCGCCGGAGGUCUCCCCACAAUGCCGGUUUGUCCUACGCUGGAGCUCUCCUCCUUGGCAGAGCCUUCCCCCCUGGGGGAGCUUCCCCCAUUAUUGAGGUACCCCAGGAUGGAGGCUUCUUCACAGCAGGGCCUUGCUGAGAUGGAGCUUCCCCUAUCAGUUUCCCCACGACCAUCGUUCUCCCUGUCACCAAGGUUUCCCUGCAGUGGACGUUGCCCCGCUGAUGCAGGUUCCACUGAGGAGGUUCCCAAUGAUGGAAGGUUCCCACUGAAGGAGGUUCCCUCCGUGACGGAGGUCCCACUGACGGCUGUUCCCACUCACAGAGGUUCCCAGUGAUGGAGGUUCCACUGAUGGAAGUUCGUACUGCUGGAGGUUCUCAUUCAUGGAAGUUCCUCCAAUGAUGGAGGUUCCCAUUAAUGAGGUUCCCAUUAAUGAGGUUCCCAUUAAUGAGGUUCCCCCCUUGCUCAGGUUCGCCGCACACGGCAGGCAGUGGGGCAGAGCAGCAGGAGGAGCAGCUGUGUGGCUGUGGGUCGGGUUUGGGAUCUGUGUGUGUGGGGCUGAGCCCCGCUGUGCUGCCGCCCGGCCUGGCGCUUCUCUUUCCUCUCUUUUUUAUUUCCUCAUUUCUCUCUUUUUUUUUUCUUUUUUCUUUUUUUUUUCUUUUUAUUAUUUUUCCUUUCUUUUUUUUCCUCCUUUUUUCUCCUUUUUUCUCCUUUCCAUUUUCUUCUUUUUUUCUUUCUACUUUUUCCUCUAUUUUUCUUGUUUCUUUUUUCCCCUCGAUUUUAUUUUUCUUUUUCUCUUUUCCAUUUUCUCUGCUUUUCUUUCCUAUUUUCCUCAAUUUUUCUUUUUUCCCCCUUUUUUCCCUCCCUCUCCCCCUUCUCCCCUCUCCCCUCCGCCCCUUUCUCUCUCUCUCCCAUUUCUCUCUUUAUCCCUCCUCCCCAUUUCUCCUCCCCUCCUCCAUAGCGGUUUCUCCUCGCCCCAAACGCAAUUUCUCACUCUUCGUGUCCCGCCCCCCCCCCGCCCGUUCCCGCAC